rnacentral:rRNA from 1 species
GCUACUGAGUUGCUAGGAGGCGCGGGGAUGCUGUGGGGGGAAGCGGUGUUCGGACGUGUUGGGGGUAAUGGGCUCGUAGGCGGUUUGUUACGUCUGUUGGGAAAGCCCACGGCUUAACCGGUGGUCUGCGGUGGAUACGGGCAGACUAGAGGCAGGUAGGGGAGAACGGAAGUCCCGGUGUAGCGGUGAAAUGCGCAGAUAUCGGGAGGAACACCGGUGGCGAAGGCGGUUCUCUGGGCCUGUACUGACGCUGAGGAGCGAAAGCGUGGGGAGCGAACAGGAUUAGAUACCCCAGUAGUC